rnacentral:lncRNA from 1 species
UUUUUUUUUUUUUCAGAGACUCUCCCUCUGGCUGUUACCUUGACUGCCACAAAACAGGCAGUGCCUCUCCUUUGGGUAGACAAUUUUAAUCCCUGCUUAGCAUAUAUUUUCCGGCAGUUGCUGUGGCAGCCCCUAACUCUCUGGUCAAAACUAUCUCGAGCAGAAUUGAGGGCUUUGAUUCUUCAGAGGUGUGUCAAGCUCUCAAAGGGGUUUUCUUGAUGUUCCUCUCGCUAGACUCGGAGUGAGAAGGCAGCGUCCCCAUCCCUCCCUUUUGUGCUGUGUUGGACCCAGAGAAUGGCAGCUCUCUCUAAAGAGAUCUCUUUACAAAUCUGCCCCUUCGAAAACCCUCUCCACUACUUUUAUAUUCUCAGAAAUGAUGAGGGUUUACAACAGAAAAAAAACCUUUUUUUUUUUAAUAUCUUUCCUUUGAAGUUUUCUAUUUUUGUCUAUCUCAGGACUCACCUUGGUAACUGAUAUUUAACGUAACUUGGCACCUCAAUCAAAUCAUGUAACUUAACAAGAUGACACAAUUGCAAUAUCAUGUGGUCAGCACAGAACAAGAGGUCAAUGUAUGUGACAUUGGGAAAGCAAAGAAAAGGGGCACCUCACUCAGCUGGAGAAUGAGUGAUCUAGGACAUUUUUGGAGAAGGCGAUUCCUUUUUUUUUUUUUUUUUGACAGUCUCACUCUGUCACCCAGGCUGGAGUGUGAUCUCAGUUCACUGCAACCCCCGCCUCCCAGGUUCAAUUUCCUGCCUCAGCCUCCCCAGUAGCUGGGACUACAGGCACAUACCACCAUGCCUGGUUAAUUUUUGCAUUUUUUAUAGAGAUGGGAUUUCACCAUGUUGCCUAGGCUGGUCUCCCGAGCUCAAGCGAUCUGCCUGCCUCAGCCUCCCAAAGUGCUAGGAUUACAGGUGUGAGCCACUGUGGCCAGCCCUUGACUCUUUCUUAGCAGAUGCAUUAGAGCUAACAAUGUGAUCAACUUUUAGGGAGAGUUUUUUGGAGAAGAUGCUGAAGACACCCCAUGCCAUGUACAUUUUUAGAGAGAUUUAAAAACGUGGUCACAAAGAAAAUCUUGGUGGGUUCUUUAAUUUUCCCAUUUAGUCUCUGCUAUGGAUCGAAUGUAUCCCCCAAACUUCAUGUGUUGGAACUUUGAUACCCAGUGCAAUGGUUUUGUUGA